CUGAAAUUUGCUAGUGAAUAAUUAAUGAGGUUACAUCAACAUGGCUGCCUCCAGUAUCAUUAUCUCGUGUACAUGCUUAGAACGAUCAAAAACUUAUUGGAAGACAUGUGGGCGGCUAUAUCGUCCAAGUUAUACGUAUAGAGAAAUAUAUUUGUUUGAUAGCAUAACUAAUUAGAACACGUAACGAUUUUGAUUCUUAGGGAAUUUUAAAAUUCCCUCAAUUCAAACGAUUUCUUCAUCCAGUCCUAGUUUUGAGAUCAGUGAUGGUAACUCAUAUAUAAAUACAGUAACCCACCAUUCACAUAUUAUGUCAAUGGACUUAUCCUGUUUUCCUCAAAAGUUACGAAAUCAUUUGAAUAACGAAUCGUUGUUCUUUGAAACAUCACAUUUACUAUACUAAUUAUGUAGGUAACUUUUAAUAGAGUUAUGUUUAUAGUGCACGCUACAUUAAGCCUCAAACCUCAGCUUUCAUUCAAAUAUACCCUUCAGGUUGUGCAGUGCGGUUUGGCAUGUAAGUAUCUUUUACAUGCAUGCAAAAUUUAACUGACAUUCUGACUGAGUAUUGUCAUAAGGGCAGACCAUUAGAUAUUUGAGGGGG